CACGUAGGGCGCAAGCGUUGUCCGGAAUUAUUGGGCGUAAAGAGCUCGUAGGCGGUCUGUUACGUCUGCUGUGAAAACCCGGGGCUUAACCCUGGGCUUGCAGUGGAUACGGACAGACUAGAGGUAGGUAGGGGAGAAUGGAAUUCCCGGUGUAGCGGUGAAAUGCGCAGAUAUCAGGAGGAACACCGGUGGCGAAGGCGGGUCUCUGGGCCGAUACUGACGCUGAGGAGCGAAAGCGUGGGGAGCAAACAGG
rnacentral:rRNA from 1 species